rnacentral:rRNA from 1 species
UACGUAGGCAGCGAGCGUUGUUCGGAGUUACUGGGCGUAAAGGGUGUGUAGGCGGUUGUUUAAGUUUGGUGUGAAAUCUCCCGGCUCAACUGGGAGGGUGCGCCGAAUACUGAAUGACUUGGAGUGCGGGAGAGGAAAGUGGAAGUUCCUGGUGUAGCGGUGAAAUGCGUAGAUAUCAGGAGGAACACCUGCGGUGUAGACGGCUUACUGGACGGUAACUGACGCUGAGGCACGAAAGCGUGGGUAGCAAACAGG